UUGACUUUGGCCUUUUUUCCACGUUCUGAUGUGAGUUUAGAUUGCAUUCUUUGUAUUUGGAAUUUGAUUGUUAAAGUGAUAUAUGAAGUGAUAAGGAAAAGUAAGAGAUAAAGGUUGUGGCGGGUCCACUAAAGUUUGUUGUCCCCUAAGCAAUUGAAUUGAUUCAUUUUACUUUGAAUUGAUAUUUAUGAAAUGUCGGUACAAUUGUCUAUAUAUAUUGUGCCUUUUGGUGAUGAUACAGAAGAGAGAAAUAAAGGAAACAUUCACAGAGAAAUCCGAGAGUUUCAGAGGGGGCUGGGAGCAGUGAUGUUGAUGACCCAGUGUUGAUUUAUUCAUUUUACAGUUUUCAGGUACCGAGGAUGAACUUGGAUUUAUAGUUGCGGGCUUAGGUGGAAGAGUUGGAGUUGAGGAAUUAAAUUAUUUUAUUUAGAGAUUUUUAUGUAUUUAUUUGAGGAAAUUGAUUUAGUAUCAAUUUAAUUAAUUUGAGAUGUUGUCUUAUUUAUUUGAGAAAAUUUGAUUGAUUUUGUAUCAAUAAAGGGUAUUUUAUUUCUUUUGA